CAGAGUUAUCUAACUCCCAAACCCAUGUGAACUUACCACUGUUGCCUCGGCAGAUGUUGCUGGGCGAACCUACCCUGUAGCGAGCUACUCUGUAGCGACCUACCCGGGAACGGCUUACCCUGUAGCGCCUGCCGGUGGACUACUAAACUCUUGUUAUUUUUAAGUAAUCUGAGCGUCUUAUUUUAAUAAGUCA
rnacentral:misc_RNA from 1 species